rnacentral:rRNA from 1 species
UGAGAAACGGCUACUACAUCUAAGGAAGGCAGCAGGCGCGUAAAUUACCCAAUCCUAAAUCAGGGAGGUAGUGACAAGAUAUAACAACGCGAUUAAAUGUCGCGAUUGUAGUGAGGGUAUUCUAAAAAUAGCUUCGAGUACGAUUGGAGGGCAAGUCUGGUGCCAGCAGCCGCGGUAAUUCCAGCUCCAAUAGCGUAUAUUAAAGUUGCUGCAGUUAAAAAGCUCGUAGUUGAACUUCAUGAGCAGUAGGUAGCUUACUACCUGCUCUCUACCAGUCUUUCGACUGUUACUGUGAGAAAAUUAGAGUGUUUCAAGCAGGCUAUUGCAGGAAUACAUUAGCAUGGAAUAACGAAUGUACCUACAAUUUGGUUAAUUGUAGAUUACUAUUAAUAGGGACAGUUGGGGG